rnacentral:SRP_RNA from 1 species
UGUGCUGAGCGCCGCAACGCUACUCUGUUUACCAGGUCAGGUCCGGAAGGAAGCAGCCAGAGCAGACGACGUGUGUGCCGGGAUGUAGCUGGCAG